UGGAAAACAACAAUGCUUUUAUCUUGAAAUUUACUACAAGAACACUAUAAAAGAAAGUACUUAAAUGGAAAAUAUGGAGGAUUAGAGACAAUUAAACUGCUUAUUGUAAAUUGCUCACAACUUCUGCCUUGUUUGGAAGAAUACAGUGUACCUAGAGCUGGAUGACUAGCUGUUCCUUGAGACUCAGUGCAUUUGGAUUCAAUGCUGCAUUUUUGCUGGAUACAGGAUGCAAACCUGAGGGAAGGGAUACAGGGAGGGCAUGGGGCUUUGGUCAGUUCAUCACCGAGAUUUUCUCCCGCCGCCCCGGUAGAGGAGCCAUCCCCUGUGAGGCCGUGGGUGCCGCCCACAGCAGGCAGCUCUCCAUGGGCUCCCACAGCAGGCAGCUCUCCAUGGACUCUCACAGCAGGCAGCUCUCUCUCCAUGGACUCCCACAGCAGACAGCUCUCCAUGGACUGCCCCGGCCUGGGUCCGCCCUCAGGAACAGCGCCCGAGCCGCCCCUGCUGCAGCGAGAGCUCCCUCAGGGCCGGCAGCGCUCCCAGAACUGCUCUGACCUGGGGCUCUGCCCUCGGUGCUGCCCGCUAAGGACAGGGGAGCGGGGCCCGAGGACGGGCUGCUGCAGCCGGGGAGCGGGGCCCCUCUCCCCAUGAUCUCCCCUGGAGCACAGCCUCCUCUAGGCACCAACACGCUCCGGCCUGGGCACAUUCCCAUGGGCUGCGGGUGGAUCUCAGCAUCCCCCAUGAAUCCCCACGGGCUGUGGGUGGAUCUUUGCAUCCCCAUGGAUCCCCAUAGGCUGUGGGUCGAUCUCUGCAUUCCCUGUGGAUCCCCGUGUGCUGUUGGCAGAUCUCUGCAUCCCCCAUGGAUCCCCAUGGGAUGUGGGUGGAUCUCUGCAUCCGCCAUGGAUCCCCACGGGCUGCAGGGGCACAGCUGCUUCACCUUGGGCUCACCACGGCCUGCAGAGGAAUCUCGGCUCCAGUGCAUAGUGCAGCUCCUCUGCCACCUCCUCCCCUGACCUUGGUGUCUUCAUGUUGU